UACAGAGAGUGCAAGCGUUGUUCGAAAUUAUUGGGCGUAAAGGGCGCGUAGGCGGUGCGGUAAGUCUGCAGUGAAAUCUCUGGGCUCAACUCAGAGUCUACUGUGGAAACUGCCGUGCUUGAGUGUGAGAGAGGUAAGUGGAAUUCCCAAUAUAGCGGUGAAAUGCGUAGAUAUCAGGAGGAACACCAAUGGCGAAGGCAGCACUCUGGGACGUGACUGACGCUGAGACGCGAAAGCGUGGGGAGCAAACAGG
rnacentral:rRNA from 1 species